CCUCCUCCUCCGCCUCCUACAGAGCUCCUGGCCUCCUCGGUCCCGCGAGGGAGUCUCCGACCCUCCCCGGCUCUCGCUUUAAUCCCAGGAGGCGGUGUCCGAGUGCCCAGGACGACAACCCCCCGCCCCGUGCAGUACGCCAAAUAAUGUGGAUUGCUUCAGAAUAAGGCGGAAACACAAGAAAACCGACCUCAUUCCAAGUCACGUGCUGCCGUGGCUCAGCGCUCCUUCCUGGCCUGGCCUCCCUGCGAGCUGGACUUCCCUAGUAUCCUUCAGGAAGGAGGGAAGAGACAUUUCCAGACAAAUCGAGACAGUGCUGACCACAAUAAAGAAACCUGAAAAGUUCAGUAAAACAUGAAAUAAUCCCAGAAGGGAAUGCCAGAGGAAAUGGUGACCAAGAAAAUGGUAAAAAGGUGGGUAAGUCUAACCAAAUAUGGACAGUACAAACUAACACCAUCGAAGAUGUUUAAUUUGUAAAGGUAAGGAGACAAUGACAGCAACAGAAACUAGAAGUGAAAUGCUGGAAGAUAACAGCAUGAAAACGUAGUAUCACCCCUAGCUGGAUGAACAAAAUUAAAGCAUUUCAAUGGUUGUAUUAUUCUGGAGAAGAAGAAACAUACUGGUUAACUUUAGACUUUGUAGAAUGUUUUGUUAAAAGGAUGACUACGAAAGGAUGAAAAUAGAGUGCAUAUUGAUUGUGUCUGAACCUAACGCAGAAACAAUGGGAUAAAGGGGGAAAGUCAAUGACACCGAGGGCAGUAAAGCAAAGAAGAAGGUUGGGGCGGGGGAGGAAGGGUGAAACGGAACCCAGGAAAACGAGAUGAAGGGAGAUGUAGAACUAUAUACAAACAGGUCGAUGAUCAUAAUACAUGCAAGCACUCCAGACGGCCCAGUUUAUAUGAACAGAAUUUUUUUUUAACAUAAAUGAUCAGAGUACCUACUUUUUAAGACAGCUGUAAGUUUAUGAGACAUAGGUAGAAAGGGCACAUGUAAAAGAAAGCUGGUUUGGCCCUGCUCAGAGUAGACAAAACAGACUUUAGAAUAAAAAGUUGCAUUAAGAGUAAGGAGAAUCACCUUACAAUGAUAAGAUAAACAAGUCACUGGGGCAAUGUAACAGUCAUGAGCUUGUGCAUACCUGAUAACGUAGUCUCCAAACUAUUUGAAGAAAAAAUGUCUAGAACGACAAGACCUUCAUAAAUUCACCGUCCUCCCUCGUGGUCAUGAAAGGUCAAGUCAACCAACCAACCACCAAAACAAACAGAACAAGACAGUAAAAAUGUAGAAGAUUCGAAGAACGCCAUGAGCAAGUUUAGUGAUGGGCACCUUCAUGAAGUAAUCAGCCAGCCGGUUUUCCAGGUUAUUUCUCAGAAACAAUUGAGAACCACGCUAUUGCAGGGUUUCAAAAAUUCUUCAAAGGAAUAGAAAUAUCGAAAAUACUGUUCAACUCAUCAAUGCCUCAACCAGGAAGGACAGUUCAAGGAAAAUUACAAGCCAGCCUAACUCAUAAAUGUAAAUGUAAAAUCCCAAACGAAUAUUAGGAAAAUGUAUCUAACCAUGUGCUAAAAAGAUUAUGACCAAGUUGGAUUAUGUUAGGAUUGUGAUAUUGCUUUAACUUAGAAAAGCAGCUUUCGGUAUAGCCCGACACAGUAACACAUUCAAACAGGAAAAUUAUAAAGUUAUCUUAACAUAUUUAGAACGAACAUUUAAUAAAAUUCAACACAUGUCCAGAAGGACUUUGCAAAAAGUCCUUUGCAAAAGUGAAGUAAAAGAAAACUUUCUUACCUGAUGAAAGACAUCUGUAUAAAUCCCACAAAAUACCCUUAUUGAUAAUAUGAAAAAGAUGAUGCCUUGGCUGGUGUGGCUCAGUGGAUUGAGCGCUGGCCUACCAACCAAAGGGCUGUGGGUUCGAUUCCCAGUCAGGGCACAUGCCUGGGUUGUGGGCCAGGUCUCCAGUAGGGGACGCUUGAGAGGCAACCACACACUGAUGUUUCCCUCUCUUUCUCUCUCCCCCCUCUAAAAAUAAAUAAAUAAAAUCUUUAAAAAAGAAAAAGAAAAAGAUUACUUCUAGAAACACUCAGCUCAGCAUUGUACUGAAGGUUUAAGCCUUGGUAGCCAAUGAGGAAAAGGAAAUUAAACUAGUGAGAAUUACAAAA